rnacentral:rRNA from 1 species
AACUUUGCCGGGAGGCUUACACAUGCAAGUCGAGCGGUAGCACAGAGAGCUUGCUCUCGGGUGACGAGCGGCGGACGGGUGAGUAAUGUCUGGGAAACUGCCUGAUGGAGGGGGAUAACUACUGGAAACGGUAGCUAAUACCGCAUAACGUCGCAAGACCAAAGUGGGGGACCUUCGGGCCUCAUGCCAUCAGAUGUGCCCAGAUGGGAUUAGCUAGUAGGUGGGGUAACGGCUCACCUAGGCGACGAUCCCUAGCUGGUCUGAGAGGAUGACCAGCCACACUGGAACUGAGACACGGUCCAGACUCCUACGGGAGGCAGCAGUGGGGAAUAUUGCACAAUGGGCGCAAGCCUGAUGCAGCCAUGCCGCGUGUGUGAAGAAGGCCUUCGGGUUGUAAAGUACUUUCAGCGGGGAGGAAGGCGAUAAGGUUAAUAACCUUGUCGAUUGACGUUACCCGCAGAAGAAGCACCGGCUAACUCCGUGCCAGCAGCCGCGGUAAUACGGAGGGUGCAAGCGUUAAUCGGAAUUACUGGGCGUAAAGCGCACGCAGGCGGUCUGUCAAGUCGGAUGUGAAAUCCCCGGGCUCAACCUGGGAACUGCAUUCGAAACUGGCAGGCUAGAGUCUUGUAGAGGGGGGUAGAAUUCCAGGUGUAGCGGUGAAAUGCGUAGAGAUCUGGAGGAAUACCGGUGGCGAAGGCGGCCCCCUGGACAAAGACUGACGCUCAGGUGCGAAAGCGUGGGGGAGCAAACAGGGAUUAGAUACCCUGGUAGUCCACGCCGUAAACGAUGUCCAUUUUGGAGG